rnacentral:rRNA from 1 species
GACGAACGCUGGCGGCGUGCCUAAUACAUGCAAGUUGAGCGCUGAAGGUUGGUCCUUGUACCAACUGGAUGAGCAGCGGACGGGUGAGUAACGCGUGGGGAAUCUGCCUUUGAGCGGGGGACAACAUUUGGAAACGAAUGCUAAUACCGCAUAAAAACUUUAAACACAAGUUUUACGUUUGAAAGAUGCAAUUGCAUCACUCAAAGAUGAUCCCGCGUUGUGUUAGCUAGCUGGUGAGGUAAAGGCGCACCAAGGCGAGGAUACAUAGCCGACCUGAGAGGGUGAGCUGCCAAGCUGGGACUGGGGCACGGCCCAAAAUCCUACGGGAGGCAGCAGGAGGGGAUCCUCGGGGAAGGAAGAAAGGCGGACCGAGCAACGCCGCGGGAGUGAAGAAGGUUGUCGGAUCGUAAAACUCUGUUGGUAGAGAAGAACGUUGGUGAGAGUGGAAAGCUCAUCAAGUGACGGUAACUACCCAGAAAGGGACGGCUAACUACGUG